ACCCUCAUGUUCCCUUUCACAUCGGAUCUGAACACUUCUCUUGGUCAUAAAAGGAGGGAUAGUAACACUGAAGUUGGCUUCACAGGGCUCAUACUCUGCCAUGUAGCACAGGGGCUAGUUUAAGACAAAU